UGGGGAAUAUUGGACAAUGGGCGCAAGCCUGAUCCAGCAAUGCCGCGUGAGUGAAGAAGGCCUUAGGGUUGUAAAGCUCUUUCACCCGCGAAGAUAAUGACGGAACCACAGAU
rnacentral:rRNA from 1 species